UACAGAGGUCUCAAGCGUUGUUCGGAUUCAUUGGGCGUAAAGGGUGCGUAGGCGGCGCGGUAAGUCAGUGGUGAAAUCUCCGGGCUUAACCCGGAAACUGCCAUUGAUACUAUCUGUCUUGAAUACCGUGGAGGUGAGCGGAAUAUGUCAUGUAGCGGUGAAAUGCUUAGAUAUGACAUAGAACACCAAUUGCGAAGGCAGCUCACUACACGAAUAUUGACACUGAGGCACGAAAGCGUGGGGAUCAAACAGG
rnacentral:rRNA from 1 species